rnacentral:rRNA from 1 species
CUACGGGGCGCUGCAGUGGGGAAUAUUGCACAAUGGGCGCAAGCCUGAUGCAGCCAUGCCGCGUGUAUGAAGAAGGCCUUCGGGUUGUAAAGUACUUUCAGCGGGGAGGAAGGGAGUAAAGUUAAUACCUUUGCUCAUUGACGUUACCCGCAGAAGAAGCACCGGCUACACUCCGUGCCAGCAGCCGCGGUAAUACGGAGGGUGCAAGCGUUAAUCGGAAUUACUGGGCGUAAAGCGCACGCAGGCGGUUUGUUAAGUCAGAUGUGAAAUCCCCGGGCUCAACCUGGGAACUGCAUCUGAUACUGGCAAGCUUGAGUCUCGUAGAGGGGGGUAGAAUUCCAGGUGUAGCGGUGAAAUGCGUAGAGAUCUGGAGGAAUACCGGUGGCGAAGGCGGCCCCCUGGACGAAGACUGACGCUCAGGUGCGAAAGCGUGGGGAGCAAACAGGAUUAGAUACCCCCGUAGUC